UACGGGGGGGGCAAGCGUUGUUCGGAAUUACUGGGCGUAAAGGGCUCGUAGGCGGCCAACUAAGUCAUACGUGAAAUCCCUCGGCUUAACCGGGGAACUGCGUCUGAUACUGGAUGGCUUGAGUUCGGGAGAGGGAUGCGGAAUUCCCGGUGUAGUGGUGAAAUGCGUAGAUAUCGGGAGGAAUACCAGUGGCGAAGGCGGCUUCUUGGCCUGUUCUUGACGCUGAGGCGCGAAAGCUGGGGGGAGCAAACGGGG
rnacentral:rRNA from 1 species